ensembl:lncRNA
CCAGCCCCUUCUCCAGCAGAUUUUCCCAACACAUGGAUCGAACCCAGGGUCUCCUGCAUUGCAGAGAAAUGACAGGGAGAAGGAAAAAAAAUCACAGUAGAAUGGCUGAAAAUUCUGAAAUACUGAUGGAAGUGUGUGGGGGAUUGCUCAUUCAUUUGGAGUGACAAGGAAGAUUUUCAUUAAGAAGGUGACAUCUGAUGAAAGGACUAACAGAGGUGAAAGGAUCAGCCAGGCAGAUAACUUGAAGAGCAUCCUUACGAGCAGAGGGAACAGGUUUCAGACAUGUCUUAGCUGGAUCACCUGCUCAAGUUCUCAAAAGGCUACAAUCAACAUAUCUGUGAAAACUGUCUUUAGCUUUAGUGAACUGAUUCAACAGAACUGUUCAACUACAACGCUUGCUGGAGCAUUGUGUAUUUGAAAUGCAUUGAUCCAUAUGAACUCACUAUUGUUAUAAUAUUAUGUAUUACUCUUAUGAAACCUCUUGAUCUGAAUUACUU